rnacentral:rRNA from 1 species
CAGGACGAACGCUGGCGGCGUGCUUAACACAUGCAAGUCAAGGGGAAAGUCUCAGCUUGCUGAGAUGAGUAUACUGGCGGAUGGGUGAGUAACACGUAGGUAAUCUGCCCUUAGGACAGGGAUAACAUUGCUAACGCGAUGCUAAUACCUGAUGAAGCAACUGUUGAAUCAGAUGGUUGUUAAAGGCUGGCUUUCAGCUAGCGCCUGAGGAUGAGCCUGCGUCUCAUUAGCUAGUUGGUAGGGUAAUGGCCUACCAAGGCGACGAUGGGUAGCCGGCCUGAGAGGGUGAGCGGCCACACUGGGACUGAGAUACGGCCCAGACUCCUACGGGAGGCAGCAGUGAGGAAUAUUGCGCAAUGGCCGAAAGGUUGACGCAGCGACGCCGCGUGAGGGAUGAAGCUUUUAGGAGUGUAAACCUCUGUUAGGAGGGAAGAAUAAUGGCAAUUCGAACAGGGUUGUCAGAUGACGGUACCUCCAGAGGAAGCCCCGGCUAACUCCGUGCCAGCAGCCGCGGUAAUACGGGGGGGGCUAGCGUUGUCCGGAAUUACUGGGCGUAAAGGGCGCGUAGGCGGGAUAGCAAGUCAGUGGUGCAAACUUGAGGCUUAACUUCAAGCUUGCCAUUGAUACUGUUAUUCUUGAGUUCGGCAGAGGGAAGUGGAAUUCCUGGUGUAGCGGUGAAAUGCGUAGAUAUCAGGAAGAACACCGGUGGCGAAGGCGGCUUCCUGGUCCGAUACUGACGCUGAGGCGCGAAAGCGUGGGGAGCGAACAGGAUUAGAUACCCUGGUAGUCCACGCUGUAAACGAUGGGUACUAGGUGUCGGUUGUACUGAUCAGCGCCGGAGCAAACGCAUUAAGUACCCCGNCUGGGGAAUACGGUCCGCAGACUGAAACUCAAACGAAUUGACGGGGGCCCGAACAAGCGGUGGAGCAUGUGGUUUAAUUCGAUGCAACGCGAAGAACCUUACCUGGGCUUGAACUGCAGGUG